rnacentral:rRNA from 1 species
GAUGAACGCUGACAGAAUGCUUAACACAUGCAAGUCUUUGGCGAAGCUGUGCUUGCACAGCCUAGCCAAGGCGGACGGGUGAGUAACGCGUAAGGAACUUGCCCUGCAGUCAGGGAUAACAGACGGAAACGACUGAUAAGACCUGGUAAAGUCAGGCGGACUCAUGUCCAGCCUGAUGAAAAGAGAUGCUGCAGGAGAGCCUUGCGUCCUAUUAGCUUGUUGGUGGGGUAACGGCCCACCAAGGCGAUGAUAGGUAGCCGGCCUGAGAGGGUGGACGGCCACAAGGGGACUGAGAGACGGCCCUUACUCCUACGGGAGGCAGCAGAGGGGAAUAUUGGACAAGGGGGGCAACCCUGAUCCAGAAAUUCUGUGUGCACGAUGAAGGUUUUCGGAUUGUAAAGUGCUUUCAGCAGGGAAGAAAAAAAUGACGGUACCUGCAGAAGAAGCGACGGCUAAAUACGUG